rnacentral:ncRNA from 2 species
AUCUUAUCAAGAGAAGCUGAGGGAUUUGGCCCGAUGACGCUUCAGCAACCUCUAACAAUUGUUAGAAAGGUGCUAAUUCCAGCGAAGGAUUUUUCCUUUGAGAGAUAAGAG